rnacentral:tRNA from 1 species
GUCUUGGUGGUGUAGUGGUCAGCACGCUCGGCGCGUAUUCGAGAGGUCCGUGGUUAGAUUCCUGGUGAGGGCA